UUUAUAUUCAUAUAGGAAUAACCAUUACACUAUCUUUGUCUCUAUUGUAGUGUAAAAUUUUGUUUUUCCUUGGAUGUGUCAAUUUAGUUACAUUGAUGACAUCUGUAUUUUCAGCUAAAUUAGCCUUGACCAGCUGCUUUAUUGAUUGGUCCAAAUUUGUGGCACGUUUUUCAGAAAGACUUAUGAUGGGUUGGCGCACAGAAAUGUCAUAUUCCAAUCACGACAUGAGAAAUGGUUGGAUUGCCUGUCCUUCUAGGAGAUUCUCGACUGACAUUUUAUCGUGUUAUUGUGUUCCACGCUAUUUAGUUCCUCCUGGAGCCUUCUGA
rnacentral:lncRNA from 1 species